rnacentral:rRNA from 1 species
UACAGAGGGUGCAACCGUUGUUCGGAAUUACUGGGCGUAAAGCGCGUGUAGGCGGCCCUGCAAGUCGGGUGUGAAAUCCCACGGCUCAACCGUGGAAGUGCACUCGAAACUGCAGGGCUAGAGUCCUGGAGAGGAAGGUGGAAUGCUUGGUGUAGAGGUGAAAUUCGUAGAUAUCAAGCGGAACACCGGUGGCGAAGGCGGCCUUCUGGACAGUGACUGACGCUGAGACGCGAAAGCGUGGGGAGCAAACAGG